AGGCUGUGAAUUAACCAGCAGAAUGUUUUUGGACGGAUUGCAAGUGAAAUGUCAUUGUUGUGUAAGGUACACAUUACAGGCAGUCUCCAAGAACAAGUUGGAUUUCCUUCCAAAACCAGAGCUCAGCUGGGAGAAAAGCAUCUUGAAGGCCUGCAAGACUUAAAGAAAGGGGGGAAGCAAGGGAUGUCUGUUCACACCUCUGCUUCUUUACACACUUCUGCCUCUCAAAUGCACAGGACUAUUAUCCUACAUUUGAAAAUGCAACUUUACUGCCAUCAGCAUACCAUGCAAAUGUCCCCUAAAUAUUGCUAUUUACUUGUAAUGAAGAAUUCAUGUGGAACAUAAAAAGGAGUUCCUUAAUCAACUCCUCUUGUGGCUUGCAUCUGUUUAUAUGGCAGAGUUGCUGCUGGAGCUGGAUCUGAAUGCCUUAUAAGAGGACAAAAUAUCUCUCCAUUGAGAAACUAGGGGCUCAUCUACAUGGGCCACAAAUGGCAGUGCUCUGGAAUCUGUUAUGUUUAAUUCCACAGAAACUUGCCUUGACGACAUUCCAUUUGAACCAUUUGAACUACUGUAAGAUAUGCUAUUUGAGGAUGUCUUUAGAAACUGCUCAGUGAGAACCUAGGGGCACAUCUACAUGGGCUACAAAUGGUUAUGCUGAGCCGGAGUGGGGCACUCCAGAUCAGCAUCACCAUGGUCUGUACAUCCAGCCACUGAACCAGCUCAGGGGCUGAAUGGCAGCUGCACAUUCCAACAGCACCAGAUCCAGUUCUAGGCACAAAAGUAGCACUGGUCACUGCUUGGAAUCUGUAAAGAUAAGUGACAAAGUAACAUGAAAAAGGGGAGUAGCCCCAUCAUUUUGCCCCUGCCUUCUCCAAUUGCCUCGUUUCUCUGCCUAGCAUCACUCCAAGAGCCGAACAAUGAACACUUCCAUGUUCGUGCCCUGUGGGAACCACAAAGCCCAUAACAAUGGGGCAAGGUAUGAGUCCAUGCAGAUGGGCCCUUGGAGAGAGCCUUCCCAGGGGCUGCCCCUGCCCUAUGGAAUCCCUUCCACAGGAGAUGAGGCUAGCCCCUCCCCUCCUCCAUUUUGCUAGCAAGCAACAACCUUUUUGUUUAAGCAGGCUUUAAUGUGUAAGCAGGGAGGAUUCUUACUGGGAUGUUUUAUUUAUAUUUUUAAGCUGCUGUUUCCUUUUAAAACUUUUUAUAUUAUUUUGUGUGGGGAUAUAAUUGUUCAAAAUUGUGUUGUCUUUUUUAAUUGACUAUCUCUGGGAGCAGCAUGAAAGGUGGC
rnacentral:lncRNA from 11 species